rnacentral:lncRNA from 1 species
ACUAAUAUGCUAAAUGGGGUACAUAUCAUUCCUUUUAGAUUACAAACGUUUCAUAUAUUCAUGAACAUGAUAUAACCUUUUGCUUCAGAUUUUGCUCCCAAAGUCGCCUCUGCAAGUGAAACACGGUUUUCUCUAUCAGUUUGUGCUUAAACUAUUGUGAAUCAUGAUAUGAUAUCAGUUUGAAUUUGAUCCCAAAAGAGAAAUGGAAUAUCCACAAUGUUCAUCUAUAAACUAUCAUUUCGUGGGUCCGAACAUGAUAGUUUAGGGUUUUGGGAGAGAGAGAGGCUCUCGUCUUAUAUCCCCUUUUAUUGGUGUCAUCUUCUGUGAAUUAUCACACAUUCGUUGCCAAACCAUCUUGAUCUUCCAAAACCCUCUCUCGCCUUGAAUUCUUGAGGAGAGGAGCAGCGGCAUACUCGGUCUUUUCCCUUCGAACUGGUGCAGGACAGGUUUUAACCAAGAUAUGCAGAACCUCCCUCAUAGAAGGCCUGUUAGAAGGAUUUUUCUCAGUGCACAUUAUGCCGAGUUUGAAGACAGCAUUCAUUUCAUCCAUGUAACAAGGUUCUUUGACGUCCUGGUCCAGAGCAUCGGCGAUAGGUUUGCCUUCUUGAGCAUGUCGCCACGCCCCUUCGGCAAGAGAAGUGUGCACAUCAAAGGGCCAAACGGCUAAAGUGAUUUGAUAAUCAUUAACAUAGGAAGGUGAUGUUUGAUGUGAAUGCAAUAACACAAAAUGAAACAGCUUAGCAUCUUCUUCCCAAGUGUCGCUUCCACUUUGUUUAAUGGAUGACUUUCCUCUUUCUAAUCGCACAAUAACAAAGGGGAGAUGAACUUAUUGAUACUAUGAAGAUUUUUGGUUUGAUAUGUGACAAAUGACAUUGGAAGUAUCAUACUUUGUUGGAAGUAAUUGAGAUUCAGAUUUGAUGCAUGUGGUUUUUUCAUCCCAUGAACGACAAGAAUUGACCAACUUCUGGUUUUGACAACAUAUUCUUUGAAUUUUGUUACUUAUUUGCACCUUGAGCGUUGUUGUACGUGGUUUUUCCUACCACGUGGUUAGGGGGGCAGCCCAAUAACAAUCCAACAAAUUUUUCAGAUUAGAAAAGUCUUCGACUAGUUUUUAUUAUAAAAAUCUUCAUUAGAAUGACUUUCAUAAAUAAUAAUCUUAGAAUGUGCGGAUGAGCCUAUGAGUUAAAGAUUCAAGUUCAUGUAAGCACUUUUGGAUGACAAUCAAGAAUCCAAUAGCUUAUUCUCCUACGGGCAACUAAAUGAUCCCAAGGCAAACUUAAUAACAACCAGGAUCAAAGACCAGAUGUCAUGCAUAGGGUACAAUGAAGCAUACAAGGUGUAUUAGGCCCAAAAAUGGGCAAUUAAUUAUCAUGUUGGUUCUUUUAAUUCGUUAUCAUGUUGUUUCUCAUGCAUUAAGUUUUAUUAUAAAUUAAGAGGCUCGUUUUAUCACUUUAUGAACACAUUUUACCACAUGUGAACUCAUGUGGUAACUAAGAAUAUUUACAAACUCAUGUUACCACAAUGAGACUAAAUGACUUAAUCACUACUUUCCUGACACGUUUUACAACUUUACGAUAAUUAUAUGCAUGUCAUGUGUAUAAUUUUCCACACAAAUCAGCUGUCGUCAUAGAAUAGUUACUCUGGCAUGAGCCUUUAUUUACUUUCCAAAAAAAGUUGAUUGAGAAAAAUAAAACUUUUAUGUUUUGUUUCUCGUACGGUAAAAUAAAACUCAAUCAAAUUAAUAUAAAAAGUUGAAAACGAUUGAUUCAAAUAAUGAGCGACCAAUAUAAGAAACAAAACAACACAAACAAGCCCAAGACACAAAAACGCUCAAACAAAACGAUUCUAGAGGAUAAACUCUUGUGCUGCAUCUUUAGAUCAAAAUAAAAUAUGUAUCCCAAUCCCAAAGGCAAGUGCUGGACUACGCUAUGUUGAAGUGGGGUCAGCCACGUGGCAUAAUAAUGUCCACGAAUCUUGAAUUCGAAGGGCAACUAGAUAGUUUACAAUUUAACUUUCGUUAAUAGUGAAACAACCCCGUUAUGAUGAAAAUUUAAGAACAUUUAAGUCAGGUAAUUCUAGCUAGCAUAUUGAUCUCUUUAAUGUUUAAAGAGUAAUAGGCCUAAUGUUUAAAGAGAAACCAUGGUCAUUACUCAUCAGCUUGAUCAACCGCCAUCAUCCUCUUCUUUAAAGAUUGGGAUGAGAUGAUGUCGAUCGAUGGUGUGAAAAAACAAAAACCAGUGAGAGGUUCCCCACUCUUCUUUGAUCCGUCUCCGCAGACCAUGUUGUCCCCGAUCGUGAUCUCCAAGGUCGCCGCAGCUCCAUUUGAACCAAGACCUUCGGCCUCGCUUGCUGCGCCGUCUAGAUGGUGCACAUCGGAGCUGCUCGCUACUAUUUGGAGUGCGGUAUCAUUUUCCAGCACAGCCCACGCUAGCCGAUUGCUUGAUCGUCGUCGCCGGUAUUCUCACCGAUUAGGUGUUGGUGAUGGGAGAGAGUCAUAUUACAGAGGAUGAUAUUGAGACAAUGAUUGGGAAAACGAUAAGGAAGCAAAAGCCAGAAAGAAUUAGAGUUGAUCUCAUGGGACUUAUGGUUUGGGGUUGACAUAAACACCCUCAUUAUUUUUCUUUUACAAGUGAUUUUUACUGUUAACGGAGUUAAAUCUGAAAUUUACUUAUAUAUCAUUCGAAUUCCAAUUUUGUGGACAGUAUUACGCCACGUGUCAUGUCUUUCUUCAGCGUACAGUACGCUGACGUAGUCCAACGCUUCCCAAUCCCAAAUUAGGAUUACACAACCAACAUAUAUUACGAGAAGUGAGAAUAAAACGUAUUUUUCAACACUUCUUGGAAAUGAAGUUUCUAGUCGCGCGACAAUAUGAUCUCUUCAUCUAAAACAUCGCAGCCAUUCUAAUCUCAGUAAUCUCCUCAUAUCAAAUGAGCUAAGAUGAGAUUACAUGUCAAACUUAAGCUUUGUGUGGGAGAGAGAGCAGUUGAGCUACCAUGGAGCAAGGACAGGAAUUCUCAAACUUCAUUGGGUUGGGCCCUCUCAAUGCCCAUCUACUAAUCCCAAUUACAAUAAAAGCACUACUAGCUGCUCAAGGAAAAAAACAGCCCUGCUAGUUAUAAUAAAUUUCUCAUUAUACACAACCAAAUAUCAUAAAUUUUUGUUUUUAUGAGAAGAAAUCCCUAACUUCUUGAGUGUGUGGAAAUCACAUUUCUUGUCAACUCAGGACAGGUUUUAACCAAGAUAUGCAGAACCUCCCUCAUCGAAGGCCUGUUAGAAGGAUUUGUCUCAGUGCACAUUAUGCCGAGUUUGAAGACAGCAUUCAUUUCAUCCAUGUAACAAGGUUCUUUGACGUCCUGGUCCAGAGCAUCGGCGAUAGGUUUGCCUUCUUGAGCAUGUUGCCACGCCCAUUCGGCAAGAGAAGUGUGCACAUCAAAGGGUCCUCUACCAGUCGUCAACUCGAGCAGGACGACCCCGAAACUGUAUACGUCAAUCUUCUCAUUCACUCUUAAGGAACGUG